UGCUACCUAAGCUAGCACAGUCCGCAUGCAUUUCCCAAGUCCUCAGACCCCAAGCCCCUCUCUUCCUGCAUCCUGACCAGAGAUCCCUGGGGCUCAUGAAAUUGCCCUCAGAUCUUUCCCAACUUAAUGUCAUGAGCAUUUAUGGGGCACCUACUGUAGAUCCCGCCCUGUGCGAGAGACUGGAGCGAUGAGGAUGAAGCAAGAACUCCUCCUGGAGCCGCUCACGGUCCAGAAGAUGACAAUGACAGCAACACGUGAUGCAUGUGGGACAAGGAAGAUCCUAUCAGGGGCACGAAACUGGAGCCUGAUUCUGCACUUCCCUCCUGGCUUUCCACUUGGAACUGCUGAGGCUCCUCUGCCUACAGUGUCGCCCCUGGCCCCGGACCAUGAACGAGACUCCGACAGAGCAGGCACCUUGCGAUCCCUCCGAAGAGCUUCCUCCAGAGGUGGUGACCCCUUUGGAAAGUGUCAAGAUGUCUAGAAUUAUGGAACGUUGGAACAGGACCUAAGCAGGAAAUCAUCUCGAUCAGCCCCCAUUUUACAGAUGGGAAGACGGAGGCCCAGAGAGAGGAAGGGAGACUCCCAAGGUCACACAGCAAAAUCAGAAGCAGAGUCCAGGCCGCUUGACUUUCGGUCCAGAGCUGUACCCACAACCCCAGUGUGGGCCCUGCAAAUCACACCUCUCCCACUCUUGACCCAAAGGAGAGGAGAGAGUGCCUUCAGUAAUUCUACUGGAGAAUGUGCUGAGGGAUAAGUGGAUAAACAAAAUAUGGCACAGGCAUACGAUGGAAUAUGACUCAGCCCCCAAAAAGGAGUAAAACAUGGAUACAUGGAUGAACCUCGAAAACAUCAUACUGAGGGAAAGAAAGCAGAGACAUAAAGGUCACGUGUUGUAUGACCCCAUGUUUGUGAACUAUCCAGAACAGGUAAAUCGAGAGAGAGAGAAAGCAGAUUGGUGAUUCCGGGGCUGGCAGAGGGGCAUAGGGAGUGACUCCUGAUGGGAAUGAAGCUUCCUUUGGGGAUGAUGAACUGUCUUAGAACUAGAUAGAGAUGGUGGUCGCAUGACACUGUGCACUGUAUACUAAGCGUGUA